rnacentral:rRNA from 1 species
AUACGGAGGGUCCAAGUGUUAUCCGGAAUCAUUGGGUUUAAAGGGUCCGCAGGCGGUCAAUUAAGUCAGAGGUGAAAGCCCAUCGCUCAACGAUGGAACUGCCUUUGAUACUGGUUGACUUGAGUUAUACGGAAGUAGAUAGAAUAAGUAGUGUAGCGGUGAAAUGCAUAGAUAUUACUUAGAAUACCGAUUGCGAAGGCAGUCUACUACGUAUAUACUGACGCUGAGGGACGAAAGCGUGGGGAGCGAACAGGAUUAGAAACCCUAGUAGUCC